rnacentral:rRNA from 1 species
AUUGAACGCUGGCGGCAGGCCUAACACAUGCAAGUCGAGCGGAUGAAGGGAGCUUGCUCCUGGAUUCAGCGGCGGACGGGUGAGUAAUGCCUAGGAAUCUGCCUGGUAGUGGGGGAUAACGUCCGGAAACGGGCGCUAAUACCGCAUACGUCCUGAGGGAGAAAGUGGGGGAUCUUCGGACCUCACGCUAUCAGAUGAGCCUAGGUCGGAUUAGCUAGUUGGUGGGGUAAAGGCCUACCAAGGCGACGAUCCGUAACUGGUCUGAGAGGAUGAUCAGUCAAAAUUGAACUGGAAAAAGGUCCCGAAUUCUAAGGGAGGCAGGCGUGGGGAAUAUUUGAACAUGGGCGAAAGGCUGAUCCAGGCAUGCCGCGUGGGUGAAGAAGGUCUUCGGAUUGGAAAGCCCCUUUAGUUGGGAGGAAGGGCAGUAAGUUAAUACCUUGCUGUUUUGACGUUACCAACAGAAUAAGCACCGGCUAACUUCGUG